AGUUCGAUUAAGCGCAUUUCGGUGGACGAACGCUGGCGGGAUGUUUGGCAGGCGAUGUAAGUCGAACGGCAGCACGGACUUCGGUCUGGUGGCGAGUGGCGAACGGGUGAGUAAUAUCGGAACGUGCCUAGUAGCGGGGGAUAACUACGCGAAAGGCAGGCUAUAUCGCACACGCCCUUCGGGGGAAAGCGGGGACCUUCGGGCCUGCAAUUAUUAGAGCGGCCGAUAUCGGAUUAGCUAGCUGGUGGGGUAACGGCUCACCAUGGCGACGAUCCGUAGUUGUCGGAGAGGACGACCAGCCACACUGGGACUGAGACACGGCCCAGACUCCUACGGGAGGCAGCAGUGGGGAAUUUGACAAUGGGGGGAAACCCCGGAUCCAGCCAUCCCGCGUGUGCGAUGAAGGCCUUCGGGUUGUAAAGCACAGCAGAGUGAAACGGCAUGGAUACCCGCAACUGACGGUACCAGAAUAAGCACCGGCUAACUACGGGCCAGCAGCCGCGGUAAUACGUGUAGGGUGCAGCGUUAGACCGGAAUUACUGGGCGUAGCGUGCGUGCGGUUCGGAAAGAAAGAUGAAAUCCCAGAGCUAUCCUUUGAAAUCCUGCAUUUAAUACCGAGCUAGAGGCCAGAGGGAGUGUGAAUUCCGCGUAGCAGUGAAAAUGCGUAGAUAUGCGGAGGAACACCGAUGGCGAAGGCAGCCUCCUGGGAUAACACUGACGCUCAUGCACGAAAGCGUGGGGAGCAAACAGGAUUAGAUAUCCUGGUAGUCCACGCCCUAAACGAUGUCAACUAGCUGUUGGGGCCUUCGGGCCUUGUAGCGCAGCUAACGCGUGAAGUUGACCGCCUGGGGAGUACGGUCGCAAGAUUAAAACUCAAAGGAAUUGAUUUGGGACCCGCACAAGCGGUGGAUGAUGAUUAAUUCGAUGCAACGCGAAAACCUUACCUACCCUUGACAUGUCUGGAAUCCCGGAAGAGAUUUGGGAGUGCCUGCAAGAGAACCGGAACACAGGUGCUGCAUGGCUGUCGUCAGCUCGUGUCGUGAGAUGUUGGGUUAAGUCCCGCAACGAGCGGCAACCUUGUCAUUAGUUGCUGCAUGAAAGGGCGGUUCGAUGAGAUCUGCCAAGACAAACUGAGGAAGGUGGGGAUGACGUCGUAGGCCCUUAUGCACCAGAUGGGUAGGGGCUUCACAAUGUCAUACAAUGAAGUCGGGACAGAGGGGUCUUUCAACCCAAGCGAGGGGAGCGCCAAUCCUAGAACCUGAUCAGAACCGAUCGCAGUUCGCAACUCGACUGCGUGAAGUCGGAAUCGCUAGUAAUCGCGGAUCAGCAUGUCGCGGUGAAUACGUUCCCGGGUCUUGUACACACCGCCCGUCACACCAGUGGGGAGGGCUUUACCAGAAGUAGUUAGCCUAACCGCAAGGAGGGCGAUUACCAUCCAUGAUUGGGUAAAGUCGUAACAAGGCAG
rnacentral:rRNA from 1 species